CUCAACCCGCUCUCCGCCGCCAUGGCUUUGAACCGCCCCUACUGCCGUGGUUUUCGCCGCUACUGACGGGUGCUGCUGCGUCCGCGCAGACUGUUUCUACCUUGCUGGUCGCCCGCUGCUUUCCUUCGACUGCUGAGUCGUCCAAUUGAACAUAUAAAUCACGCUAGGCAACCCGCCCUUCUAGCACGUUUGCAUCGCGCGGGCGAUUGGGUUCGCACGAUUGCCUGCCGUUUGUACCUUUUACAGCCGUGGCAACUGUUCAGCCGUUCUCUUUUCUUUACUUCUCUCCUUGCUUCUAUGUGCAUGACAGGUGGGCCUUAUUUACCCACAGGCUCUGAAAGUGUAGUUCGUUUUUGUGUUUAUUGGGUGAAAGGUGAAAGAAGGAUAAGCGUUGCGAGCAGCACGGUGAAAACCUAAUCGCCAAUCCCCUUCCGUCAUCGCAUCUCGCCCACUUCCUCCUCCCUUCGCCGCCGCCUCCCCUCCUCGCCUCUUCCCAUGCUCUACACCACCACCACCACGCCCCUGCUCCUACACCGCCUCGCCGCCGGCCGCCUCUGCGCCUGUUCGUCUGCCCCCUCGGAAGGCACCGAGUUGCGGCCAGCCCGUGCUCAGCCUCCGCCCAUGCGCUCGAGAAGAGGGGAGGGGCAGCCGCAGGGUAGGAGCAGCCACAACAGUCGCCAGUGCUGCCUCAUCUACCGCACUUCACGCCACCAUCCAUCCACCCGGUGAACUGGAGAGGCAGAUGAUGAGCGUCGCCUCGUAUCUUGGGGCUGGAUCCCGAUUCUGCCGCUCCACGGCAUGCCGUCCGCCUUUUCCUCCACCUUGUGUGGCUGCUCUGGUCGACCUCUUCCUCAUUGUAGGUGCUCAACAGGAGAAGCGCGAGCAGCCGGUGCAGCCGAGAGUUCGCCUGGUUGCAGCUCGACUUCAGCCAACAUCAGCCUUUGUUGCUGUUACUGUCCCAUUUUGAGAACCAAAGAAAUACCGCCUUUCAGCUAGAUGUGUGUUAGGUGAAUGCUGCAGGCCAUUUUGUUCAUUGGCCCGGCAUGAUUUGGAUUGCAUCACCUACAGAGUUGUAGGUCUGUGUGAUUGAUGAGCUGGCUUAGGAAGGCACAGUCGAUUAUUAUUGCCUAUUUCUCCAUUGAAAGCUGCUACUUCUUUCGUCUUAGAAGGUACUUGUGUGUACAAUGGAUACUUUUAUUGUGAUUUUUCUUCUUUGUCAUGGAGAGUUUGAAACUACUAUACAUAUUAGUCUUUUGCGAUUUCACUUUCCUAAGCUCGAGCCGCAGCGUUGGUCCACGGCGCCGGCACCAUCGUCAUCCGCAGUAAGAGUGUGGGCUACAGAGACGUCCGGCUCUCGCGCCACCGUCUGUCCACCCGAGAGGUCCAUGGCUGGACGGCGUCCUUCUAUCUACGUGGCCUGACCUUGCAGUGCAGAAAGGCGACGUCUUGCAAUAAAUAAUUGAGGAGGACCUAGAUUUCUCCAGAAUGAACAUGCAGCUACAUGGUGGACACUGUAGACGCGAAUCCACGCAAUCUGGACCAUAGGAUUGACCCCAUCGACGGCUGAAAUUGCUUCCUAAGUCCAUGUUUCAAAUUUUCAAAACUGGUACACUAUAUAGUAGUAUAGAUAAAUGGUUCAUUCUGUCCAAAGAAAUAAUAAGUUGUGUACGGUAUUAGUUCAAACUAUCCAAAGAAAACGCUUAUUUAGUUCAUUCUGACCAAGGUUGGCGUGUAUACAGGGUUGGGGGCCAUUUUACUUGGUCGUCCAUUUCCUUAAGUAAAAGUUGCUCUUUUCUCUCAGAUAUUUGCUGUGUGGAUGACCGAUCAUGCAACAGGCAUUGUCUAUAUAGUAAGAUAGUGUUCUUGUUUUCUGUGACUGUAUAAAUGACGAAAUAAAUUAGUAAUUAAGUGAUUCAUUCUGACGUUUUAGAAUCUGAUAUUUUAUCUGCAUGUGUAGCACUCAAAUUAUGUUUUUCAUUUCUGUUUUCUUUUCAUUUAAGAUGUUAGUUUGAGUUGCUAAAGUAGAUGUUUAUCAUUUCCAGUAGGAUAUGCAUUUGAUCCAGUCCAUGUCUUGGUCUCUUUUUGAAGUGUGUUUAGCCAUGUUCUUCCUACAUGUGUUCAAUCCGUCGGUAGCUAGCGAAUGUUGUGCUGUGACAAAGGUGCACUCCAGGAAAAAAAUUAUUCUGCAAAGAAUCUUUAUCAACAAAGCGCAUAGGGAAGAUUGUCAGUGUCAGCGACCAAUUAUUUUGUUCAGCAGGUGUUCCCUUCAAAUGAGGCUCCAGCAAGGGGAUGCUAGCAGAUAUCAACCGGUUGGUUGAUUGUGUGCACAUUCUGUAAAGUCAACUUAAAGCUUCAGCAUGUGUGUUCAUUGUCCUCUCCAUUUCAAACAAACCAUCAGCUGUUUCUUUAAUAUUUUAUUACUUAAUCAUACUGUAGAAUUUGUUUCUCGGUGAUCUAAAACUUAUAGCCAUUAAGGGAAGCCCUUGGUUUGUAUUAGGUACUUGUGCCAUUGGGUGCAACUGUAUGAAAAAUAGUGAGAGAAUGCUGGUAGAAAUUAGCAGUAAUGUAAUUACAUAGAGAGAAGGUACUCACAUGUCACAUCAUAUUUCCCCAUGCUCCUCUUGAAUUGCAACAAGUAUUGAAUUUAGUUUUA